rnacentral:rRNA from 1 species
GGGUUCACCCAUUGGUCAGGCUUAAUUGUCUGCACUGGUGAGAUGAGUCUCUACCUUCUGAGGAACUUUCAUGUCAUUAAUUUGGUGUGAUUGGAAAUCAGGACUGUUACUUUGAAAAAAUUAGAGUGUUUAAAGCAGGCUAACGUCUGAAUACAUUAGCAUGGAAUAAUGAAAUAGGACGGCUUGAUUCUAUUUCGUUGGUUUCUAGGAUCACCGUA